rnacentral:rRNA from 1 species
GACAUAGGUGGCGAACGUUAUCCGGAAUUAUUGGGCGUAAAGGAUGCGUAGAUGGUAGAAUAAGUUACUGGUCGAUGCCAAACUCAAUUUGGCGGAAGCCGAUAAUACUGUUCUACUCGAGGGCAGGAGAGGUUGUUGGAAUUCUGUGUGGAGCGGUGAAAUGCGUUGAUCUACAGAGGAACACCAAAAAGGCGAAGGCAAUCAACUAUUCUGUUCCUGACAUUGAGGCAUGAAAGCGUGGGGAGCAAACCGG